GACCUAGUAGUGCACGGCCCACACCUGCUCUCCGUAACUACUCGGCAUCCGGCAUGUGCAGCAGGAGCUCCCGGUUCGACUCCGGGCUAGGUCA